AUGUACGAAUCCUUUAGAGAUAGAGGAGUGCUCGAAAGAGAGCCGUAACACAGGUGCUGCAUGGCUGUCGUCAGCUCGUGUCGUGAGAUGUUGGGUUAAGUCCCGCAACGAGCGCAACCCUUGUCAUUAGUUGCUACAUUCAGUUGGGCACUCUAAUGAGACUGCCGGUGACAAACCGGAGGAAGGUGGGGAUGACGUCAAGUCCUCAUGGCCCUUAUAGGUGGGGCUACACACGUCAUACAAUGGAUGGUACAAAGGGUCGCCAACCCGCGAGGGGGAGCCAAUCCCAUAAAGCCAUUCGUAGUCCGGAUCGCAGUCUGCAACUCGACUGCGUGAAGUCGGAAUCGCUAGUAAUCGUGGAUCAGAAUGUCACGGUGAAUACGUUCCCGGGUCUU
rnacentral:rRNA from 1 species